GACGAACGCUGGCGGCGUGCCUAAUACGUGCAAGUUGAGCGCUGAAGGUUGGUACUUGUACCGACUGGAUGAGCAGCGAACGGGUGAGUAACGCGUGGGGAAUCUGCCUUUGAGCGGGGGACAACAUUUGGAAACGAAUGCUAAUACCGCAUAAAAACUUUAAACACAAGUUUUAAGUUUGAAAGAUGCAAUUGCAUCACUCAAAGAUGAUCCCGCGUUGUAUUAGCUAGUUGGUGAGGUAAAGGCUCACCAAGGCGAUGAUACAUAGCCGACCUGAGAGGGUGAUCGGCCACAUUGGGACUGAGACACGGCCCAAACUCCUACGGGAGGCAGCAGUAGGGAAUCUUCGGCAAUGGACGAAAGUCUGACCGAGCAACGCCGCGUGAGUGAAGAAGGUUUUCGGAUCGUAAAACUCUGUUGGCAGAGAAGAACGUUGGUGAGAGUGGAAAGCUCAUCAAGUGACGGUAACUACACAGAAAGGGACGGCUAACUACGUG
rnacentral:rRNA from 1 species